GUCACUACAGAUAUAUUUAUUAAUUGGAAGAUUUCUUUAUUUCAUACAGUUGUUCAAAUACUUCAGGGAUAUUAAAUGUAUCUGUAAAAGAUAAAAUAUAAUAAUAUUGUAUGAUAAAAUACAUUUCUGCGGACCGUUUUUACAACACCGAUUGAACAUUAUAUAAAACAAUAUGUCGUGACAUUGUUCACAUAAUUUUUAAAAUAAUGUCCAAACGAUACGAUUAAAUUCAACGAUUUUCGUGAUGAUUGGUAUUUUAUUACAGAUACGUUUUCGAAAUUAAACAAUUCUCCGAGAAAAAAUAUAGGACAAUUUUGAAUUUUUAUUUUUAAUAAUGAAAUAAAGUAGAAGAUAUAAUUUAAUUUUCACGAAUAGUGUUUUUAUAAACAACAAACAUUAAGACUCGGUUAAUACUAUAAGAUGGAGACUUUUUUAACGACCCAUUGAUAUUUUACAAUUGUUUAAUACUAAAUAUAUUACGAAAUUUUUAAUUUAUACAAUAUAUAUAUAAAUAUCUUUAUAUUUUAUUUUUUAUUCACUACUUAUAUCUAUUUUUUUAUAAAAAAAAAACAUAAAUAUUAGGUAAAAAUAAUGUAAUUACCAAAUACAUGUGUAAAGAACAAUUUUUAAAUAUUCUUAAAUACGAUAACAUUAUUAUAGGUUUAAUAUUCUAUAGUAAAAAAAAAAAUAAAUAUAUAUUUAUUGUUUACAAGUUUUAUGACAUAUUUAAUUGCACGUAAUUUUUUGACACACGAAUAAUGCCCGUGAUCAAAAUUUAAAAAAAAAACCUAUCUGAAUAUAUAAUUAUUCAUUAUACGAUAUUGCGGAAGUUUAGUUUUUUUUUUUAUAUAAACGUUGACAUUAUAAUAUUAAAGCGUGAUAGUAAAAUUCUAAGGUAUCGGAUUAAUGCUAUCUGAAUUUAUUAUACUUUAUAAAGAAGAUGAAUUGAAAUUUCAAUCUGCGUGUUAUAUUAUAAUGUAUAUUAGCGAUUUUGAUUUUUGAAGCGAAUUUUCCGGUACGUUACACAAUUAUAAUUAUUUGUUGAUAUUUGAAUUCAUUUUUCAUUUCUAAGCAUUUAUCUAACAUAAUUUUUACAACAUUUAUUUCGUAAUAUUCGGUUAGGCUUAUGGCAUCAAACGUAAAAUCAUUAAUUGGACCUUCCCCAAUACAGUAGUUAUCCAGAUAAUUUGAAGCGAUUAUAUAAUCACUCAGAAUUAGAAAUACGACGGUAUCCAACAAUAUUGUCGUAUGGAUAAAGUGAAUGUCAUAUCUUACAAUAUGCUCUACCUAAGGAGUUUAGGAGUAUAUCAGUGUUAUACAUAUAUUCACAGGUUGUAGAAUGCAUACUUAAAUGCAUUCUACAUUGCUUUCAAGUAUUUAAUACUUGAAAGCAAACAAUUUGUAAACUUCCUGGCACACAAAUAAAAUAUCUCCAAAAUAACCCGCAGUUAUUUGUCACAAACUCACAACUAUCAAUUUUGUCAUAGUUACCAAUCUUCAAAUCAACAUUUAAGAAGUGUCAUCAUUAAAUUAAAAUUUUACCGUAAAUAAAUUUACUUUGGUUUUCUAUUUAUAUACAUUUCUAUUUUUUCAUUUCAUAAUUAUAUUCAUAUAUGAAUAGCUCUAUGUAACUUGCAUGAGCUUUUAAAUCGAAUACAAUUGCCUAUGAUAAUUAAGGAUUAAGUAUUAAAAUUUAAAAAAAUAUAUUAAACGGGUAUAAUAUUUAACAAUACCUAAUAAAUAUAAUUCGGUAACUUUUGGGUAAAACACUCCAUAUUUUUUCCAAAUAAUACCCCCCCCCACAAAAAAAAAAAAUAAAAAAAACCCCCAUAGCUAUAUGAGCUCUUAUUGAAUUUUAAAUAAACAGAUUGAAAAUCCAUAUGUGUAGGUACUACCUUACUGACAGCAAUUAAAUAGUAGUGUAAUAGGUUGUUGAUUAAUUAGGUAUUUCCCUCUAAUUAUACGUAACAAAAAUAAAAUAAAUUUACUGUUUUUAUUUAUUGCAACACAUUUAACAAAACAUAUUUUAUUUUUUAAUAAUUUAGCAACACCACGUGUAGAUUCAAACUGCAGAAUAUUAUCUUUUAGGAUCUUUUCAAGUAAAUCAUUUAAUAUUCUUACAACAUUUAGAGAAUAUUAUUAUUUAACAAUAAGGUUUCAACUAUACUUGAAUCGGUUUACAAAAUGUUACCGAAAUAUUUAAAAAUGUUGUGUUAUUAUUUUUGGGCAGUUUUUUAAUAUUUGCAAGAUAAUUAUAUAAAAUAUAAAAUAGAUGAAACAAUUUAAAAAAUAUGCCUAAAAUUGUUAGCCUUCCAGCUCUAUAUCCUACGAUAUAACGACUGUGCUACCUAUCAGGUAUGAAAUGGUUAAUUGAAAAUUAUAUGAAUUCUAUUUACAAUUAAUAUGUUUCGAAAUUACGUACUGAAAUUUAUUAUAAUGUAUCAAAGUGUCGAUGCAAAUUUUAUUUUAAACGAUAUAUUUUAUACUUACAAAAUAUUCACACAAAGUUAAAUUUAAAUUAUUUUAUUAGUAAAUUAACUAAACCAUGUCAAACAUAUUAUUUUAUAUAUUAUAUUGUUUUAAAUAUAAUACAAUUAUUUAAAUAUUCAUAAAAUGUAAUAAUUCUGAAAUAUUUCAAUUUAACCAUUUUGUAUAAUAUUCCUAAAAUAAGUAUCAAUUUUGCGAUUUAACUUUCUAGGACAUUUCAGCAUGGCAUCAAAUAUUUCGGCUUAAAGUCAUAGUAGCGAGAACACUAUUUCAGUGUGAAAUAUCAUUUUUUUUUAAAUUUGUUACCAUUUUUCCUAAUAUUACAAUUUGCUAUUAUUGUAAUUUAGUAAAAUACUAUAACAAAAACCAUGAAAAUAAGAUACUUAUGUAAAGGAAUACAUUAUAUCGUUAUCAUAUUUGAAAAAAAUGAUUAUUAUCAUUUUAACAAAAACAAUUAUGAAAUAAUAUUAUGGGCAUUGGAUAAAAAAAGAAGUAUACUUAAUCUUCAUUAAAUAAUGAUGAUUGUUCGUUCGUUCGUUCGUGAUCUAUAGGUAUAAAAUCAACAACUACUUAUUGUCACCAACAUUUGCAAACAUUUAACUAGACACUUGAGACUCGAGAAAGCUAUGUAUCUUUGAUUUUUAAAGUUGCUAUAGAGUGGCUCACACAUGAAUUUCGUUUCAACUCAAAAGAAUCUAAUAUUUGUUUUAUUUAUGUAUAGCGUUGCCAUUGAUUACAAAUAAUAAAAUAUUUAUGAUCAGUAUAUAAAAUCUUCUAAAUAAAGUGUAAAAUUGAGCUAUUGGUAAAGGCAAAUCUCGUAAACCAUCGGACCGUUUAAUACUGAGCUCAAGCAAAUUUGAGAGGAACAGCUAUUCAUAUUGUUUAAAACUAAUACAAAAUGUAUUAAAUUAAAAAGUUAUACCACUAUACUUAAAUAAAUUGUGAUCUAUACAAUUUAAAAAGUUGUUAUAAUAUGAUUAUAGUAUUCAUUGACGGGCAGUACUCGAAUGGGACAAACAAAACAAUAGUGAGUACUGAGCUCCUUAAACAAAAUUAGUUACUUCAUGAAUGAACUCAACCUAACUCAUUUACUGUAAUUUAGUAGGAGUUCUUAAAUAUUUUUAAAAUAAUUGUCGAGUAACUAUUUAUUCUCGCAAACUUCUUUCCGACAAUCCGAUUACUACUGAUUAAAUUAAAAAUAAUAUAACGGUAAAUGAUAUUAAUAUUUAAGAUAUUAAAAAUUAUAUUUCAUGUCAAAAUAGGCUUCUUGCCGAAAUGUCUUAACGCCAAAUAAUUGGAUUCGGUAUUCACUUUUUAUUCCCCUAUAUCCUCAUUUAUUCUCCAUUUGUCUUAAUUUUCAGUACGAGUUUUCUUAUUAAUAUUUUCUUUCAAAACACUUACAUCUUUUACAUGCAACAUUGUCGAGACCUAUUCUCCUCAUCACAAGCGCCACAGUUUCUUAACGUUCGGGAUAGUAAAAACGAAUACGGACAUUAAAAAACUAAGAAUAUACGUCACCAUAACCUAACAUAUUAUUAUCAAAAACUAUUUAUACGUAGCAU
rnacentral:lncRNA from 1 species